UUGGCCACAAAAGCUUUUCCAUUUAAAAGUUAAUAAUCCAAUUGACAGGCUGUGGCUUCUGUCUAAAUAUAUAUUUUUCACACGAGAAACUACCCAAGCCCUGCAGUAUGCCUCAUAAAAUUUCGAACACAUAAUCGAACACCGAUUUGCACACUUCUUUAUUUGCCAUCGAGCAUUACUUGCAAUUGCAAUCAUUUCGCUUGCCCUCGCCAUAAAAUAUGAGUUUCGAGCGCUCCUGAAUUUAAAUGAACUCACCCAGCUAACAGGCUUAAAAGAUUCCAGUCAGACAAAUUACGUUUUUGGCUCAUUAAAAUGAUCUCAGUACGGCAGAAUGGAAAAAAAUAAAGAAAUGGCAUUACGUGCCGAAAAUAAAAGUCAGCCUCUCGUAGCAACAUACACACGGACGCACUUAUAAAUCCGCAAAGCAAUCAGAUGAAAUUUAUGAAAUUCUUCUUGCCGGUUUGCCACACAAUCCACACACUUCGGUGGACUCUUGGGCUCUUGUGAUAUUUUUAAUAGCAUUUUUUUUCCCCCACCCCACCACCGAGGAAUGUGGCUGCCCGGCAACGCACAUCGAUGAAAUGGCUGGAAUCACAAAUAAAACAAUGUGGGGUAAGCUGGAGGGAUGCUGGGCAAGCAGGGCUGCUGGGGCUGAUGGGAUGGCAAGGGGGCGUGUCAGCGUGGCACACGACAAAUAAAUUUGUCAACAAA